AAGCAACGCGAAGAACCUUACCAGGUCUUGACAUCUUCUGACAAUCCUAGAGAUAGGACGUCCCCUUCGGGGGCAGAGUGACAGGUGGUGCAUGGUUGUCGUCAGCUCGUGUCGUGAGAUGUUGGGUUAAGUCCCGCAACGAGCGCAACCCUUGAUUUUAGUUGCCAGCAUUCAGUUGGGCACUUUAAGGUGACUGCCGGUGACAAACCGGAGGAAGGGGGGGAGGACGUCAAAUCAUCAUGCCCCUUAUGCCCUGGGCUACACACGUGCUACAAUGGACAGAACAAAGGGCAGGGAAACCGGGAGGUUAAGCCAAUCCCACAAAUCUGUUCUCAGUUCGGAUCGCAGUUUGCAACUCGACUGCGUGAAGCUGGAAUCGCUAGUAAUCGCGGAUCAGCAUGCCGCGGUGAAUACGUUCCCGGGCCUUGUACCCCCCCCCCGUCCCCCCCCGAGAGUUUGUAACACCCGAAGUCGGUGAGGU
rnacentral:rRNA from 1 species